rnacentral:rRNA from 1 species
GGGAGUCGUACGCUCUCGGGAAGAGGGCGUGGCGGACGGCUGAGUAACACGUGGCUAACCUGCCCUUGGGAUCUGGAUAACCCCGGGAAACUGGGGCUAAUCCGGAGCGGGCAAGGGAAUCUGGAAUGAUCUCUUGCCUAAAAGCCUCUCGGCUGAUCCCGUCGAGAGGCGCCCAAGGAUGGGGCUGCGGCCCAUCAGGCUGUUGGGGGAGUAAAGGUCCCCCAAACCGAUAACGGGUAGGGGCCGUGGGAGCGGGAGCCCCCAGUUGGGCACUGAGACAAGGGCCCAGGCCCUACGGGGCGCACCAGGCGCGGAACGUCCCCAAUGCGGGAAACCGUGAGGGCGUUACCCCUAGUGCCCUCGCAAGAGGGCUUUUCUCCACUCCAGAAAGGUGGAGGAAUAAGCGGGGGGCAAGACUGGUGUCAGCCGCCGCGGUAAUACCAGCCCCGCGAGUGAUCGGGACGUUUAUUGGGCUUAAAGCGCCCGUAGCCGGCCUGUAAAGUCACCGUUUAAAGACCCGGGCUCAACCCGGGGAACGGCGGUGAUACUUACAGGCUAGGGGGCGGGAGAGGUCGGAGGUACUCCCGGAGUAGGGGCGAAAUCCUCAGAUCCCGGGAGGACCACCAGUGGCGAAAGCGUCCGGCUAGAACGCGCCCGACGGUGAGGGGCGAAAGCCGGGGUAGCAAAUAGGAUUAGAUACCCUAGUAGUCCCGGCUGUAAACGAUGCAGGCUAGGUGUCGCGUAGGCUUUGUGCCUGCGCGGUGCCGCAGGAAAACUGGUAAG